CAGGGAUUGCCCCAGUAACGGCGAGUGAAGCGGCAACAGCUCAAAUUUGAAAUCUGGCCUCGGCCCGAGUUGUAAUUUGCAGAGGAUGUUUCUGGCGCGGUGCCUUCUGAGUUCCCUGGAACGGGACGCCAUAGAGGGUGAGAGCCCCGUACGGUUGGACGCCUAGCCUGUGUGAAACUCCUUCGACGAGUCGAGUAGUUUGGGAAUGCUGCUCAAAAUGGGAGGUAUAUCUCUUCUAAAGCUAAAUACCGGCCAGAGACCGAUAGCGCACAAGUAGAGUGAUCGAAAGAUGAAAAGCACCUUGAAAAGGGGGUUAAACAGCACGUGAAAUUGUUGAAAGGGAAGCGCCCAUGACCAGACUUGUGCCCGGCGGAUCACCCAGCGUUCUCGCUGGGGCACUCCGCCGGGUCCAGGCCAGCAUCGGUUUUCGCCGGGGGAUAAAGGCUCUGGGAACGUAGCUCCUCCGGGAGUGUUAUAGCCCUCUGCGUAAUACCCUGGCGGGGACCGAGGUACGCGCUCCGCAAGGAUGCUGGCGUAAUGGUCAUCAGCGACCCGUCUUGAAACACGGAUCAAGGAGUCGUCCAUUAGAGCGAGCGUUUGGGUGUCAAACCCGCACGCGUAAUGAAAGUGAACGUAGGUGAGAGCUUCGGCGCAUCAUCGACCGAUCCUGAUGUCCUCGGAUGGAUUUGAGUAUGAGUUUUACUGGACGGACCCGAAAGAUGGUGAACUAUGCCUGUAUAGGGUGAAGCCAGAGGAAACUCUGGUGGAGGCUCGCAGCGGUUCUGACGUGCAAAUCGAUCGUCAAAUAUGGGCAUGGGGGCGAAAGACUAAU
rnacentral:rRNA from 1 species